rnacentral:tRNA from 2 species
GCCGACGUAGCUCAGUUGGUUAGAGCACCGGAUUGUGGAUCCGGGGGUCCGGGGUUCAAGUCCCUGCGUCGGUACCA